UACGUAGGGUGCAAGCAUUAAUCGGAAUUACUGGGCGUAAAGCGCGCGUAGGCGGCUGUCUAAGUCGGGUGUGAAAGCCCCGGGCUCAACCUGGGAACUGCAUUCGAUACUGGACGGCUAGAGUAUGAGAGAGGGAGGUAGAAUUCCACGUGUAGCGGUGAAAUGCGUAGAUAUGUGGAGGAAUACCGGUGGCGAAGGCGGCCUCCUGGUUCAAUACUGACGCUGAGGUGCGAAAGCGUGGGGAGCAAACAGG
rnacentral:rRNA from 1 species